CUUUGCUUGAAGCUGCAGAGACCACAAUACCCAAGGUAAUAGCUGUUGAAAAGUUGUUUGACAUUCCAAAUGGAUCAGGCAACGAUUAUAUUGAAUUUGAGUCUUUAAGAAGCGAUGAACCAGUAACAGAAGAGACUGUUUUAGAAGAAAUUACCCUUGAUAUGCCAAUUAUCAUUACUGAAGUAAAAACUAUGAACAAAAAUAAAUCUGAUCUGACUUAUGGGGUAUCAGAAUUUCAAGAUUAUUAUGAAAACAGAAUCUUUGUUGAACAGCCUGAAGCAGAAAGAGUCGCAACAGUAGACAACAAUAUACAUAUUGAAAGUCUGCCAAUUACUAUUAUUGAUGCAACAAUGGUGACCAGUAACAAAACUGACCUUCCCUAUGGGGCCACAGAUUUUCAAAAUACAUAUGAAAGUUGUGAAUUGGUUAUACAGCCCGAGACCGAACCAAUAUCAUCAAGAGAACAGAACGAUCCGCAACUUCAUUUAAAUCUACUCCACCGUAAUUCUC